rnacentral:rRNA from 1 species
GGACUACGGGGGUAUCUAAUCCCGUUUGCGACCCAGGGCUUCGUCCCUCACCGUCGGAUCCGUUCUAGCAAGACGCCUUCGCCACCGGUGGUCCUUCUAGGAUUACAGGAUUUUACCCCUACCCCAGAAGUACCUCUUGCCUCUCCCGGUCCCAAGUUCAACAGUCUCUCCGGAAUUCGGAAGGUUAAGCCCUCCGAUUUACCCAGAGAUUUAUUGAACCGGCUACGAACGUUUUAGACUCAAUAAUAUCGACCACCACUUGGGCUGCGGGUAUUACCGCGGCGGCUGGCACCCGUCUUACCCAGCCCUUAUUCCAUCAGUUAUCUACGCUGAAGAAAAGCCAACACAAAAUGCAUUGGCACUAGGAAUUCCCUCAUCGGAGUUGCCUCCAUUGUGAAGUUUUCGCGACUGCUGCCCCCCAUAGG